rnacentral:snoRNA from 1 species
AAACCAUGAUGAGGGCAUUGAGACCAAUACAAUAGCCCUUGAACCUCUCUCAUGCUUCACUGAAGCUCUCUAGACCUUUCUGUUGAAACCCAGAGAUUUCGUUCCUGAACUU